rnacentral:rRNA from 1 species
AGUGAACGCUGUCGGUAGGCCUAACACAUGCAAGUCGAACGGCAGCACAGUAAGAGCUUGCUCUUACGGGUGGCGAGUGGCGGACGGGUGAGGAAUACAUCGGAAUCUACUUUUUCGUGGGGGAUAACGUCGGGAAACUUACGCUAAUACCGCAUACUACCUACGGGUGAAAGCAGGGGAUCUUCGGACCUUGCGCGAUUGAAUGAGCCGAUGUCGGAUUAGCUAGUUGGCGGGGUAAAGGCCCACCAAGGCGACGAUCCGUAGCUGGUCUGAGAGGAUGAUCAGCCACACUGGAACUGAGACACGGUCCAGACUCCUACGGGAGGCAGCAGUGGGGAAUAUUGGACAAUGGGCGCAAGCCUGAUCCAGCCAUACCGCGUGGGUGAAGAAGGCCUUCGGGUUGUAAAGCCCUUUUGUUGGGAAAGAAAAGCAGCAGGUUAAUACCCCGCUGUUCUGACGGUACCCAAAGAAUAAGCACCGGCUAACUUCGUG